AACUCCGAGUACCUCAUCCACUUUGGCAUCGACACGCCGCGCCCGCAGCAUGUGGCGCUGACGCUCGACACGGGCAGCGACCUCAUCUGGACGCAGUGCUUCUGCCAGGUCUGCUUCCCACAGCCGUUCCCGGAGCUGGAUACCUCCGCCUCCGGCACAGCCCGCGGCGUCUCCUGCUUUGACCCCCUCUGCGUGCAGGGGGGCUUCUCGCUCUCCGGGUGCGCCGUCGGCGACAACUCCUGCGUCUACACCGACUCGUACGGCGACAACUCGAUCACGACGGGGAGGAUGUACCAAGACACCUUCACCUUCCAGCAGGCGGCCAACGGCAAGGUCGCGGUCGUGCCCAACCUCCGGUUUGGUUGCGGCAUGUUCAACACCGGGACCUUUGGAUCAAACGAGUCCGGCAUCGCCGGCUUCGGCCGGGGGGUGUUGUCUCUGCCGUCACAACUCAAGGUCGGCAGGUUCUCCCACUGCUUCACCACCAUCGUGGAGUCCAGGCCCAGCCCCGUGUUCCUGGGCACGCCGGACAACCUCGAAGCGCAGGCCACGGGACCUAUCCAAUCCACCCAGCUGGUGCGGAACCCCAAAUCCAAUCACUACUACCUUUCGCUCAAAGGCAUCACCGUCGGCAAGACGCGGCUGCCCUUUGACGCGUCGGCGUUCGCGCUCAAGGGCGACGGCUCCGGCGGGACGAUCAUCGACUCCGGCUCGGCCCUGACGAGCUUCCCGGAGGCCGUGUACCGGAGCCUCGUGGAGGCGUUCGAGUCGCAGGUGCCGCUGCCAGUCAACAAAAACAACACCGCCGAGCACGUUGGCUUGUUGUGCUUCACCGUCUCGCCGAAGAAGAAGGAGACCGCGAUGCCGAAGCUGAUCCUCCACCUGGAGGGCGCGGACUGGGACCUCCCACGGGAGAACUACGUGAUGUACACCGAGGAGGACGGGCUGUGCGUGGUGGUAAAUUCGGCGGGCGAGGACAGCAGGUCGCUCAUAGGCAACUUCCAGCAGCAGAACACGCACGUCGUCUACGACCUGGAGCACAAUAUGCUGCUCUUCGUGCCCGCGCGCUGCGACAAGCUCCUGUGA
rnacentral:rRNA from 1 species